rnacentral:SRP_RNA from 1 species
GCCAGGCAUGGUGGUGCGCGCCUUUAGUCCCACCUACUUGGGAGGCCGAGGCAGGAGAAUCACUUGAACCCGGGAGGCGGAGGUUGUGGGUGAGCCGAGAUAGUGCCAUUGCACUCCAGCCUGGGUGACAGGAGUGAAACUCCGUCUCAAAAAAAAUAAAAAAUAAAAUUAAAAGGAUUUUUUUUUGUUUUUGAGACGGAGUUUCACUCUUGUUGCUCAUGCUGGAGUGCAAUGGCGCAAUCUCGGCUCACCGCAACCUCCACCUCCCGGGUUCAAGCGAUUCUCCUGCCUCAG